CCGAACAGUAUUUGAAACAAAAAGUUUUUGAGAAUACUCUUUAAUCGAAAUUUGUCGAAAUUUAAGUUCCUGCACGAAAGAUUAUACCUUGAUAUCUUAGAUAUAGAGCCAAGUCUUGAAUAACAUGUUAGCUCAACUUUGACUUCCGCUUUAUUGGAGGCGCAAUAUGUUCGACAGAUUUGCCAACUCCAUUCACACACUCUGGCGCACUUGGCGAGUCUAUAAACAAUUCAUUUAUUAUCCUAACACGCUGUGGCUAAAGCCCAAGGAGUAAGCACUGUGAUCUAAUGCUUCAUGCUUGAUUUAGUGGCAGCGGCUGCAAAUCAUCGCCCAGCCAAAAAGGGAUAAAGGCCAUGCAUAUGAAAUAUGAAUAUGAAUAUGCGACUUCUAACACAGGACAAUAAUAUGGAGAACAUGUCGUCUCUGUCGAGCGGGCAAUUGCUCAUAAUUGGUAGUCAAAUAUGUACGCCCUCUGCCGAUUUGUGAACAGAGAGUAUUUACCUUCUCUAGUACUCGCACACACAUGUGGGGGAUGCAGUCAGCUAAGGUUGAUUUGAUAUAUUGGAUGGAUUUGGCGUAGACAAUUUUAUGGGCACUGAAUUUAUUUGAUGUUUGGCAUCAGGUUAUUCUUAUUUUUGUUCCGAUUGCUAAGCGCUGUGCCAAUAAAUUUCAAUCACUCAAUGCCGAAAUCCUUCAGAAUUUAUGUGGCAUAUUAAAAAACGUUUUAUAAAAACUCUUAGAAAUUGGCGCGAUUCAUAUUAAAAAUUAAACGAGCAGAGAUAAAUGAGAAAAAUACUUUUUACAAUGUUCAAUAAAAAGAUACAAAUAAACUAAAA